rnacentral:rRNA from 1 species
AGAGUUUGAUUCUGGCUCAGGAUGAACGCUGGCGGCGUGCUUAACACAUGCAAGUCGAACGGAGUUUUUAAGUGGAAGUUUCGGAUGGAAGUUAAAAACUUAGUGGCGGACGGGUGAGUAACGCGUGGGUAACCUGCCUCAUACAGGGGAAUAACAGUUAGAAAUGACUGCUAAGACCGCAUAAUAUAGCGAAACCGCAUGAUUUUGCUAUCAAAUAUUUAUAGGUAUGAGAUGGGCCCGCGUCUGAUUAGCUAGUUGGUGGGGUAAAAGCCUACCAAGGCGACGAUCAGUAGCCGGCUUGAGAGAGUGACCGGCCACAUUGGGACUGAGACACGGCCCAAACUCCUACGGGAGGCAGCAGUGGGGAAUACUGGACAAGUGGGGGAAACCCUGAUCCAGCCGACGCCGCGUGAGUGAAGAAGUUAUUUCGGUAUGUAAAGCUCUAUCAGCAGGGAAGAUAAUGACAGUACCUGACUAAGAACGCCCCGGCUAACUACGUGCCAGCCGCCGC